rnacentral:rRNA from 1 species
CAGUAGCCACGGGAAAACGAAGGGGGCUAGCGUUGUUCGGAAUUACUGGGCGUAAAGGGCGCGUAGGCGGCCAUUCAAGUUAGAUGUGAAAGCCCUGGGCUCAACCUAGGAAUUGCAUUUGAUACUGUUUGGCUUGAGUUCGGGAGAGGUGAGUGGAAUUCCCAGUGUAGAGGUGAAAUUCGUAGAUAUUCGGAGGAACACCAGUGGCGAAGGCGGCUCACUGGCUCGGUACUGACGCUGAGGUGCGAAAGCGUGAGGAGCAAACAGGAUUAGAUACCCCGGUAGUCCCUGUCUCUUAUAC